CUUUACUGCAACUUGACGUUGGAACUCGGCUGUAUUUGUGUAGGAUAGGUGGGAGACUUUGAAGCAGGGCCGCCAGGUCUUGCGGAGUCGUCGUUGAAAUACCACCCUGGUGCUGACGAGUUUCUAACCGUGUCCGUAUGCCGGACAUGAGACAGCGUCUGGUGGGCAGUUUGACUGGGGCGGUCGCCUCCUAAAAGGUAACGGAGGCAUUCAAAGGUCCCCUCAGCGUGGUCGGUAAUCACGCGCAGAGUGCAAACGCAUAAGGGGGCUUAACUGCGAGACCGACAGGUCGAGCAGGUACGAAAGUAGGAGUUAGUGAUCCCGCGGUUUAGCGUGGAAUUGCCGUUGCUCAACGGAUAAAAGGUA
rnacentral:rRNA from 1 species